rnacentral:rRNA from 1 species
UUAUGGGAGAGUUUGAUCCUGGCUCAGGAUGAACGCUGGCGGCGUGCCUAAUACAUGCAAGUCGAGCGAACGGACGAGAAGCUUGCUUCUCUGAUGUUAGCGGCGGACGGGUGAGUAACACGUGGAUAACCUACCUAUAAGACUGGGAUAACUUCGGGAAACCGGAGCUAAUACCGGAUAAUAUUUUGAACCGCAUGGUUCAAAAGUGAAAGACGGUCUUGCUGUCACUUAUAGAUGGAUCCGCGCUGCAUUAGCUAGUUGGUAAGGUAACGGCUUACCAAGGCAACGAUGCAUAGCCGACCUGAGAGGGUGAUCGGCCACACUGGAACUGAGACACGGUCCAGACUCCUACGGGAGGCAGCAGUAGGGAAUCUUCCGCAAUGGGCGAAAGCCUGACGGAGCAACGCCGCGUGAGUGAUGAAGGUCUUCGGAUCGUAAAACUCUGUUAUUAGGGAAGAACAUAUGUGUAAGUAACUGUGCACAUCUUGACGGUACCUAAUCAGAAAGCCACGGCUAACUACGUGCCAGCAGCCGCGGUAAUACGUAGGUGGCAAGCGUUAUCCGGAAUUAUUGGGCGUAAAGCGCGCGUAGGCGGUUUUUUAAGUCUGAUGUGAAAGCCCACGGCUCAACCGUGGAGGGUCAUUGGAAACUGGAAAACUUGAGUGCAGAAGAGGAAAGUGGAAUUCCAUGUGUAGCGGUGAAAUGCGCAGAGAUAUGGAGGAACACCAGUGGCGAAGGCGACUUUCUGGUCUGUAACUGACGCUGAUGUGCGAAAGCGUGGGGAUCAAACAGGAUUAGAUACCCUGGUAGUCCACGCCGUAAACGAUGAGUGCUAAGUGUUAGGGGUUUCCGCCCCUUAGUGCUGCAGCUAACGCAUUAAGCACUCCGCCUGGGGAGUACGACCGCAAGGUUGAAACUCAAAGGAAUUGACGGGGACCCGCACAAGCGGUGGAGCAUGUGGUUUAAUUCGAAGCAACGCGAAGAACCUUACCAAAUCUUGACAUCCUUUGACAACUCUAGAGAUAGAGCCUUCCCCUUCGGGGGACAAAGUGACAGGUGGUGCAUGGUUGUCGUCAGCUCGUGUCGUGAGAUGUUGGGUUAAGUCCCGCAACGAGCGCAACCCUUAAGCUUAGUUGCCAUCAUUAAGUUGGGCACUCUAAGUUGACUGCCGGUGACAAACCGGAGGAAGGUGGGGAUGACGUCAAAUCAUCAUGCCCCUUAUGAUUUGGGCUACACACGUGCUACAAUGGACAAUACAAAGGGCAGCGAAACCGCGAGGUCAAGCAAAUCCCAUAAAGUUGUUCUCAGUUCGGAUUGUAGUCUGCAACUCGACUACAUGAAGCUGGAAUCGCUAGUAAUCGUAGAUCAGCAUGCUACGGUGAAUACGUUCCCGGGUCUUGUACACACCGCCCGUCACACCACGAGAGUUUGUAACACCCGAAGCCGGUGGAGUAACCUUUUAGGAGCUAGCCGUCGAAGGUGGGACAAAUGAUUGGGGUGAAGUCGUAACAAGGUAGCCGUAUCGGAAGGUGCGGCUGGAUCACCUCCUUU